rnacentral:rRNA from 1 species
UACGUAGGGGGCUAGCGUUGUCCGGAUUUAUUGGGCGUAAAGAGCGUGUAGGCGGCCAGGUAGGUCAGCUGUGAAAACUCGAGGCUUAACCUCGAGACGUCGGCUGAAACCAUCUGGCUAGAGUCCGGAAGAGGAGAGUGGAAUUCCUGGUGUAGCGGUGAAAUGCGUAGAUACUGGGAGGAACACCUGUGGCGAAAGCGGCUCACUGGACCACAACUGGCGCUGAGGCACGAAAGCUAGGGGAGCAAACAGG